AUUGAACGCUGGCGGCAGGCCUAACACAUGCAAGUCGAACGGUAACAGGAAACAGCUUGCUGUUUCGCUGACGAGUGGCGGACGGGUGAGUAAUGUCUGGGAAACUGCCUGAUGGAGGGGGAUAACUACUGGAAACGGUAGCUAAUACCGCAUAACGUCGCAAGACCAAAGAGGGGGACCCUCGGGCCUCUUGCCAUCGGAUGUGCCCAGAUGGGAUUAGCUUGUUGGUGGGGUAACGGCUCACCAAGGCGACGAUCCCUAGCUGGUCUGAGAGGAUGACCAGCCACACUGGAACUGAGACACGGUCCAGACUCCUACGGGGGGCAGCAGUGGGGAAUAUUGCACAAUGGGCGCAAGCCUGAUGCAGCCAUGCCGCGUGUAUGAAGAAGGCCUUCGGGUUGUAAAGUACUUUCAGCGGGGAGGAAGGGAGUAAAGUUAAUACCUUUGCUCAUUGACGUUACCCGCAGAAGAAGCACCGGCUAACUCCGUG
rnacentral:rRNA from 1 species